UUCGUGCAGUCUCUUUAUUCAAGUUUUACUUCCUUUUCCGCUCCAUUUGUUACUGAGAGCUCCAACUCAUGUGUGUCCAUGAAGUUGGCUCUAAUUCUUUGGGGGAGUGGAGGAGUUUGCCAGAGGAGCCCAGGUGAGGAGCUCGAUAUUUUGAUUAAACAUAGCCAGUCCCUUCACUACUCUUUUACUGCUCUGAUUUAAAGGCUUGAUAAUUCCUGGAUUUUAUUUCCUAUAGCCCAUGACAGAAAUGGGGUGCAGAUGGGGGGAGAUUGAUUUCAGGACAUAUUAAAAAUCUAAACUCUGUACUAAAUUUGGGAAGGAUAUAAAUGGAUUUCAGAUUCAGUGUUAAGAUCCCUGCCAAAGUAAAAUUAAAAAAUUUCAUUUUACAGAGCCUUGAGAAAAACAAAAAAAUGAUUUUGUAAUAAAUGUCAAUGUUGACCCUUCUAUAUGGGGAUGAAUGUAGUUCAAAUAGUCUGUUUAGUGUAACAAGGACUUUGCUUUGAUGGCUUUGUGGGUUGUGAGCUCUUUGAGGGCAGGAGAGUGUCAUGUGACCCAUUUCUGCCUCUGAGCCACCAGAAAGCAUGGCACACAGUAAGCAUUCAAGAAAUGUCUGUUCGAUAAAUAGCUUAAUAGUAAACCAGUCUUUGUUGUUGCUAGUUACCACCAAGCUGGCUCCGACUCAUGCUGAACCCACGUGUGACAGAACGAAACACUGCCUUUUCUGUACCAUCUUCACGACUGUCGGUGGACCAAUAAUCCAAAGCAGAAGAUGAACCUGAAUAGAUCCAAGUUUCUUCCACUUGCGAUUUUUGAGGCUGGAUUCACUGACGGAUUGCCUUAUCAUUCAUGAAUAUCUGCCACUUGAUGGUCGCUGCAUGGCACUGUGGGGAGUUAAGCACAGGCUCUGACGUCAGGCCAUGAAUCAUGUUCCCAGGCUGCCACUCACCGGCUGAAGGUCCUUAAGCUGAUUACCAUCACACACCUAUUCCAGAGGAAAACCCACUGCCAUCCAGUCAGUUCCAACCCAUGGCAAUUCCACAGGUUUCCAAGGCUGUACAUCUCUGCAGAAGCAGACCACCACAUCUUUCUCCUGUGGAGCUGCUGGUGGUUUUGAACCACUGACCUUUCUGUUAGCAGCUGAACUCUUUAACUACUGCACCACCAGGGCUCU